rnacentral:lncRNA from 1 species
GUCAGUUUAGUACUAACAAUUGUUUUGUACUUCUAUAGUUAUACGUUUUAUCCAGUUGUCUGUUUUGCCGGUUAAACGUUAAUCAGUUCAUUGUUUAGAUUUUUGUUAGAAACUAAUAAGACCUGAGCUCAGGCAGAACUCUGGAUUUUGCAGAGUUGUGUUUAAUCAUUAGGUUUAAUUCAAGCAUUUAUUAUUGUCAGUCGAUAGAAUUAGCUACUUUGCAAAUUGGCGCCUGAACAGGGACCCUGUGGGUGUUUUCAAACACUUCUCCAAGUACCUCUGUUUCCACACCACAAUUUACAUCUUGUUUUUCACAGAGGAAAUGUUGCCAUAGUUGUUCAUUGCCGUCGUGACGAGCCACCCGAAGAACCAAUGUUGGAGAAUAAUGUUCGGUCUCCAGAUUAUAUUAAAGAUGAACUGUUGUUAUGAAAUAUUCAGAAGGAGCUGUUAUGAAAGGGAGAGACAAUAUUGCUUUCCAGAAAAGGUGUUCAUCUGGAAGAAAAAGAACGAGUCUUGGGAGACGUAUGCUGGUGAUCCGUUUCAACGUUUGUAUAGGAGUCAGUUACCCCAAGAGUGGUGGCAGAAGGGCAAUGCUGUGGACCCUUGGGAUCCCCAGCAUGUGCCCUUUGAAGGGUGGAUAUUGUAAGGAUCGGCCAGAAAACUUACCGGUGUCUUUCCAGUGGUGAAGUCGGCGUGGAGCUAGUUCGUCCUGUCACCAUCUUUUAGCUUCAAACACAGAGUUCUUGACAUCAUUAUGUUUAAUUAAUUUUCAGUUUUUGGUUAAUGAACUAAUUAUGUUAUGCUUUUUUUUAUUAAUAAUGAUAUUUUUUGUUAAUAUCACACUGAUUGUUUUCAAAUAUUUUAUUUAAGUUUGACAAGUUACAUAAUUAUGCUAAUCAAGUAUGGUGCAGAUAUGGUUAAAAGGACUGUAGUAAGGAGGCGUCGUCGUCUCACUUGUCUGUUGUGUCGGCUUGAUAUGGACUGUUGGUGUAAGGUAUUUAACGUUUUAUUGGACGUUGUUCUCGACGAUUUCUUGUUUUGAUGUUGAGCAGCGGUCGCCCGAAGAAUCUUCUGGCUGGAGUCGGGAACUGUAUUGUGUAGGCUGUUGGCCACUGUUGUUUUUAUUCAAGCAAGACUUUGUUUUUUUCAUUAUUAUUGUAAGUACUUCUGAAUUACCAGUUGUUUUUUGUUUUUGGCUAAUAAAAGUUUAUCAUGGAGCAUUGUUUUGAAUCGAUUAUUCGUUGGCUGAGCCAUCAUGAAUUGAACAUUACUAUUCAGAUCAGCAUCAACCAGCGUAAUACACGGGGUCGAACUACAAGUGAAGGAACGGGAGGAUAGUUUUCCUUCACACAUGGCACCAAAAUGGAUUGUGUUGCCACUCUUUUAUUAGUUUCUAACAAAUGACUGUAUUCAAAAUAAAUACUGAACUGAUUGGCGUCUGACUGGAGAGGUAUAGAACUGGAUAAGGCGUAUAACUAUGAAAGUACC